GACGAACGCUGGCGGCGUGCCUAACACAUGCAAGUCGAGCGGUAAGGCCCUUUCGGGGGUACACGAGCGGCGAACGGGUGAGUAACACGUGGGUGACCUGCCCUCAGCUCUGGGAUAAGCCUGGGAAACCGGGUCUAAUACUGGAUAUGACUCCAUGACGCAUGUUGUGGGGUGGAAAGCCUUGUGCGGCUGAGGAUGGGCCCGCGGCCUAUCAGCUUGUUGGUGGGGUGANGGCCUACCAAGGCGACGACGGGUAGCCGGCCUGAGAGGGCGACCGGCCACACUGGGACUGAGACACGGCCCAGACUCCUACGGGAGGGCAGCAGUGGGGAAUCUUGCGCAAUGGGCGAAAGCCUGACGCAGCGACGCCGCGUGAGGGAUGACGG
rnacentral:rRNA from 1 species